rnacentral:rRNA from 1 species
AGUGAACGCUGGCGGUAGGCCUAACACAUGCAAGUCGAACGGCAGCACAGAAAGAGCUUGCUCUUACGGGUGGCGAGUGGCGGACGGGUGAGGAAUACAUCGGAAUCUACUUUUUCGUGGGGGAUAACGUAGGGAAACUUACGCUAAUACCGCAUACGACCUACGGGGGAAAGCAGGGGGUCUUCGGACCUUGCGCGAUUGAAUGAGCCGAUGUCGGAUUAGCUAGUUGGCGGGGUAAAGGCCCACCAAGGCGACGAUCCGUAGCUGGUCUGAGAGGAUGAUCAGCCACACUGGAACUGAGACACGGUCCAGACUCCUACGGGAGGCAGCAGUGGGGAAUAUUGGACAAUGGGCGCAAGCCUGAUCCAGCCAUACCGCGUGGGUGAAGACGGCCUUCGGGUUGUAAAGCCCUUUUGUUGGGAAAGAAAAGCAGCAGGUUAAUACCCCGCUGUUCUGACGGUACCCAAAGAAUAAGCACCGGCUAACUUCGUG